UUAAGCGACCAAGCGUACACGGUGGAUGCCCUGGCAGUCAGAGGCGAUGAAGGACGUGCUAAUCUGCGAAAAGCGCCGGUAAGGUGAUAUGAACCGUUAUAACCGGCGAUGUCCGAAUGGGGAAACCCAGUGUGACUCGUCACACUAUCAUUAACUGAAUCCAUAGGUUAAUGAGGCGAACCGGGGGAACUGAAACAUCUAAGUACCCCGAGGAAAAGAAAUCAACCGAGAUUCCCCCAGUAGCGGCGAGCGAACGGGGAGGAGCCCAGAGCCUGAAUCAGCAUGUGUGUUAGUGGAAGCGUCUGGAAAGGCGCGCGAUACAGGGUGACAGCCCCGUACACAAAAGCGCAUGUGCUGUGAGCUCGAUGAGUAGGGCGGGACACGUGGUAUCCUGUCUGAAUAUGGGGGGACCAUCCUCCAAGGCUAAAUACUCCUGACUGACCGAUAGUGAACCAGUACCGUGAGGGAAAGGCGAAAAGAACCCCGGCGAGGGGAGUGAAAAAGAACCUGAAACCGUGUACGUACAAGCAGUGGGAGCCUCUCUUUAUGGGGGGUGACUGCGUACCUUUUGUAUAAUGGGUCAGCGACUUAUAUUCUGUAGCAAGGUUAACCGUAUAGGGGAGCCGGAGGGAAACCGAGUCUUAACCGGGCGUUAAGUUGCAGGGUAUAGACCCGAAACCCGGUGAUCUAGCCAUGGGCAGGUUGAAGGUUGGGUAACACUAACUGGAGGACCGAACCGACUAAUGUUGAAAAAUUAGCGGAUGACCUGUGGCUGGGGGUGAAAGGCCAAUCAAACCGGGAGAUAGCUGGUUCUCCCCGAAAGCUAUUUAGGUAGCGCCUCGUGAAUUCAUCUCCGGGGGUAGAGCACUGUUUCGGCCAGGGGGCCAUCCCGGCUUACCAACCCGAUGCAAACUGCGAAUACCGGAGAAUGUUAUCACGGGAGACACACGGCGGGUGCUAACGUCCGUCGUGAAGAGGGAAACAACCCAGACCGCCAGCUAAGGUCCCAAAGUCAUGGUUAAGUGGGAAACGAUGUGGGAAGGCCCAGACAGCCAGGAUGUUGGCUUAGAAGCAGCCAUCAUUUAAAGAAAGCGUAAUAGCUCACUGGUCGAGUCGGCCUGCGCGGAAGAUGUAACGGGGCUAAACCAUGCACCGAAGCUGCGGCAGCGACACUGUGUGUUGUUGGGUAGGGGAGCGUUCUGUAAGCCUGCGAAGGUGGCCUGUGAGGGUUGCUGGAGGUAUCAGAAGUGCGAAUGCUGACAUAAGUAACGAUAAUGCGGGUGAAAAACCCGCACGCCGGAAGACCAAGGGUUCCUGUCCAACGUUAAUCGGGGCAGGGUGAGUCGACCCCUAAGGCGAGGCCGAAAGGCGUAGUCGAUGGGAAACGGGUUAAUAUUCCCGUACCUGGUGUUACUGCGAAGGGGGGACGGAGAAGGCUAUGUUGGUCGGGCGACGGUUGUCCCGGUUUAAGCGUGUAGGCUGGUUUUCCAGGCAAAUCCGGAAAAUCAAGGCUGAGGCGUGAUGACGAGGCACUACGGUGCUGAAGCAACAAAUGCCCUGCUUCCAGGAAAAGCCUCUAAGCCUCAGGUAACAUCAGAUCGUACCCGAAACCGACACAGGUGGUCAGGUAGAGAAUACCAAGGCGCUUGAGAGAACCCGGGUGAAGGAACUAGGCAAAAUGGUGCCGUAACUUCGGGAGAAGGCACGCUGACACGUAGGUGAAGCGGUUUACCCGUGGAGCUGAAGUCAGUCGAAGAUACCAGCUGGCUGCAACUGUUUAUUAAAAACACAGCACUGUGCAAACACGAAAGUGGACGUAUACGGUGUGACGCCUGCCCGGUGCCGGAAGGUUAAUUGAUGGGGUCAGCGCAAGCGAAGCUCCUGAUCGAAGCCCCGGUAAACGGCGGCCGUAACUAUAACGGUCCUAAGGUAGCGAAAUUCCUUGUCGGGUAAGUUCCGACCUGCACGAAUGGCGUAAUGAUGGCCAGGCUGUCUCCACCCGGGACUCAGUGAAAUUGAACUCGCUGUGAAGAUGCAGUGUACCCGCGGCAAGACGGAAAGACCCCGUGAACCUUUACUAUAGCUUGACACUGAACACUGGUCCUUGAUGUGCAGGAUAGGUGGGAGGCUUUGAAGUGUGGACGCCAGUCUGCAUGGAGCCGUCCUUGAAAUACCACCCUUUAAUGGCUGGUGUUCUAACGUAGACCCGUGAACCGGGUUGCGGACAGUGUCUGGUGGGUAGUUUGACUGGGGCGGUCUCCUCCUAAAGCGUAACGGAGGAGCACGAAGGUUGGCUAAUCCUGGUCGGACAUCAGGAGGUUAGUGCAAUGGCAUAAGCCAGCUUGACUGCGAGCGUGACGGCGCGAGCAGGUGCGAAAGCAGGUCAUAGUGAUCCGGUGGUUCUGAAUGGAAGGGCCAUCGCUCAACGGAUAAAAGGUACUCCGGGGAUAACAGGCUGAUACCGCCCAAGAGUUCAUAUCGACGGCGGUGUUUGGCACCUCGAUGUCGGCUCAUCACAUCCUGGGGCUGAAGUAGGUCCCAAGGGUAUGGCUGUUCGCCAUUUAAAGUGGUACGCGAGCUGGGUUUAGAACGUCGUGAGACAGUUCGGUCCCUAUCUGCCGUGGGCGCUGGAGAACUGAGGGGGGCUGCUCCUAGUACGAGAGGACCGGAGUGGACGCAUCACUGGUGUUCGGGUUGUCAUGCCAAUGGCACUGCCCGGUAGCUAAAUGCGGAAGAGAUAAGUGCUGAAAGCAUCUAAGCACGAAACUUGCCCCGAGAUGAGUUCUCCCUGAGACUACAAGUCUCCUGAAGGAACGUUGAAGACGACGACGUUGAUAGGCCGGGUGUGUAAGCGCAGCGAUGCGUUGAGCUAACCGGUACUAAUGAACCGUGAGGCUUAACCUU
rnacentral:rRNA from 1 species